rnacentral:rRNA from 1 species
UGGGGAAUUUUGCACAAUGGAGGAAACUCUGAUGCAGCGACGCCGCGUGAGUGAUGAAGAUCUUCGGAUUGUAAAACUCUGUCCUUAGUGAAGAUAAUGACAGUAACUAAGAAGCAAGCCCUGGCUAAAUACGUGCCAGCAGCCGCGGUAAUACGUAUGGGGCAAGCGUUGUCCGGAAUUAUUGGGCGUAAAGGGUACGUAGGCGGUUUAAUAAGUCCUAAUUAAAAGGCUAUGGCUCAACCAUAGUAUGGUUAGAAAACUGUUGAACUUGAGUAGAUGAGGGGAAAGUGGAAUUCCAUGUGUAGCGGUGAAAUGCGCAGAUAUAUGGAGGAACACCAAUGGCGAAGGCAACUUUCUGGAAUCAAACUGACGCUGAGGUACGAAGGCGUGGGGAGCAAACAGG